UCCUUGGUAGCCUAGCAGUUAAAGGCCCAGAAUUGUCACUACUGUGGUGUAGGUUCAAUCCCUGGCCUGGGAA
rnacentral:tRNA from 1 species